CCUACGGGAGGCAGCAGUGGGGAAUAUUGGUCAAUGGAGGAAACUCUGACCCAGCAACGCCGCGUGAAUGAUGAAGGCCCUCUGAGUUGUAAGUUCUUUUUGAAGGGGAGCAAAAAGCGACGGUACCUUAGUAUUACGCCUCGCCUAACUACGUCCCAGCAGCCGCGGUAUUACGUAGGAGGCGAGCGUUAUCCGGAUUGAUUGGGCGUAAAGGGUGCGUAGGUGGUUUGAUAAGUUGGUAGCGAAAUGCCGGGGCUCAACCCCGGCACUGCCACUAAUACUGACGGACUUGAGUUCAGGUGCGGUAGGUGGAAUUCCUGGUGUAGCGGUGGAAUGCGUAGAGAUUAGGAGGAACACCGGUGGCGAAGGCGGCUUACUAGACUGUAACUGACGUUGAGGCACGAAAGCGUGGGGAGCAAACAGGAUUAGAGACCCGUGUAGUC
rnacentral:rRNA from 1 species